GAUGAACGCUGGCGGCGUGCCUAAUACAUGCAAGUCGAGCGAACAGACGAGGAGCUUGCUCCUCUGACGUUAGCGGCGGACGGGCGAGUAACACGUGGAUAACCUACCUAUAAGACUGGGAUAACUUCGGGAAACCGGAGCUAAUACCGGAUAAUAUAUUGAACCGCAUGGUUCAAUAGUGAAAGACGGUUUUGCUGUCACUUAUAGAUGGAUCCGCGCCGCAUUAGCUAGUUGGUAAGGUAACGGCUUACCAAGGCAACGAUGCGUAGCCGACCUGAGAGGGUGAUCGGUCACACUGGAACUGAGACACGGUCCAGACUCCUACGGGAGGCAGCAGUAGGGAAUCUUCCGCAAUGGGCGAAAGCCUGACGGAGCAACGCCGCGUGAGUGAUGAAGGUCUUCGGAUCGUAAAACUCUGUUAUUAGGGAAGAACAAAUGUGUAAGUAACUAUGCACGUCUUGACGGUACCUAAUCAGAAAGCCACGGCUAACUACGUG
rnacentral:rRNA from 1 species